AGCUUUUCAUUUGCUGCAAGAACAGGUGUCACCCUCCCUGCCUCCUUUAAGAAAACCGACAGAGUUGCCUUACCAAACCAACUUCACAAUUGUUUAAAAAAAAAAAAUGACAAAAACCAGAUUACCAAAGAGUAAUUCAGGCGCGGCUCGAGUGCAGCGAGGUGGAUGAAUAGAAAACUGUAGAGACGGGCUGCAGUGUAUUAUCGGAGCAGUCAAGAGGCCCAUGUGUAAGUAACAUUUAGUAAGAUGGAGAGCAGCAGGAAAAAUAUGCUUUCUGAAGAUAAGGAAAUGUUGGUGUAAAACGGUUGCAAGAAAACUGAAGCGGCAUAGGAAACAGAAAGGUGGGUCAGUUAGCACCAAUCACAGGCCACACGCUUCAUCCGUGUGCCCUUCCAAACAAGGGUUUAUAAGAAACCCUUGGAAGCGCGGACUACCCCUGCUCUCAGUCCCACUGUGCUAUUGAUGGAAAGGACGGAGAGCAAUCCUUGGUGGGACUGGACUGAUCUAAACAUUUCUCUUGCCACUAACAGCUGCAUGGUUCAAGUCUACUGGAUGCUUGCACUCUGUCUGCUCACCAGUCCCUGCCAACAGUCCCUGCCCACAGUCCCGGCAUGAGUUCGCCGAUAGCCGCAGAAGUCACCGAUUGCUCCAGAUCCUAGACUUGGACUCACUGGCAGUGAAAGAGAUUUGCCUCAAAAUGUAAAAUUCAUACCUCAAAAAAAUGUU